GCGGCUAACUGCGGACAGGAGGACAUGACGCGGAGAAACAAACUCGUGUUUCACUCCCAGGACUGCAGUACACCGCGGAUUUCUUCUCAAGAUGUGAAUUUAUCGGAAUAAAGAGACCGGGACAAAAACAAUCAGAACAAACAAAACAAAAAAAUAAAUAAAAAAUGCAGGCGCCUCGGCUUGUUCAGUGUUUCGUUUUGGCGGUUGCUGUCAUCCGGACGAGUCGCGCGCAGGCAGUGCCUUGAUGGAGGAACGGACACCUCAUUGCUGUGGUUUUCUUAAAAUUAAAGAAACUUAAAGCUUCAGGGAAGAAAAGGUGGAGAUGAUGCUGUGUGACCUCGACCUGGCUGUUUGUCCGGAAAAAAUAAAUAUAUAAAAAAAAAAGGUUUCUACAACACACACGCGCACACAACUCCUUCAUAUUGUCUUAGUCUGUGUUCCUUUUUAUUUUAUAUCAUCAUAAAUCCAUCUUUUUUUCAUCAUUUUGCACUUCUUAAUCAUUUAUAUAUUUGCUUGGAAAACAUGAUGCUUGGACGAGGCUGUACACAGUGAUGAAGAGAGAGAUAGAGAUGUUCAGGUGUCACUGCGUUAAAGGACGUAAAAAGAGAACUGAGGACGUCUGAUAAAAAUAAAGUUUAAAAAUGAGUACGCGCACAUUACAGUCGGAUCAGAAAGCAUCAUGCUCCUCGUCAACCUGCAGGGCCGACUACGAUGGAGACGUUCAGGAAACAUAAUUACCAUCUUUCAUCAACCAUCUGCUGCUGUGUCUGUCUCAUUUAGAUAAUUAGGACAACAAGCCCUCGGGCUGGACUCAGAUGCACACAAUUUCACCCAGGAAUAUCGAACAGAGGGAGAAGAAGAAGUGCCGAAAGUUCAGCUUGAGAGAUGACACGAAGUUUGAUUUGUGUUGGGCUGCAAUUAUUGAUUAGGUUGAAGUUUGAGCCAUUUCCGUUCGUUUGAUUAGGGUCUGAUUAAAUCUGAUUACGAUACUGUUUUAAUCAUGCUGCUGCUAACCAGGGUCAUUUUCAAAACAUGCUAUUAAAAAGUGUUAGCGGA